GUUCAAAACAUCUCCUUUCUCUUUUCCCCUCCAAAGAAGGUUGACCAAAUCACUCAGUCAAGGCUAGAGGAAAGUGAAGUUGAAAAGCAAGUCUCCAAAGGCCAGCUCUGACAGAGCAAGAAGGUUUCUAAGCUCACAGAGAGCAGGCUUCCAGACUUUCCCUGGCAGUCAUGAAGGAUGAAAACAUUGUUUGGAAGGCUGCACUU